UACGGGGGGGGGCAAGCGUUGUUCGGAAUUACUGGGCGUAAAGGGUUCGUAGGUGGCCUGCUAAGUCAGACGUGAAAUCCCUCAGCUUAACUGGGGAACUGCGUCUGAUACUGGAAGGCUUGAGUGCAGGAGAGGAACGCGGAAUUCCAGGUGUAGCGGUGAAAUGCGUAGAUAUCUGGAGGAACACCGGUGGCGAAGGCGGCGUUCUGGACUGCAACUGACACUGAUGAACGAAAGCCAGGGGAGCAAACGGG
rnacentral:rRNA from 1 species